GGAUUUUAGCUCACUGGUAGAGCGCUUGCCUAGCAUGUGUGAGGCACUGGGUUCAAUUCUCAGCACCA
rnacentral:tRNA from 1 species